UCCGGGGUAAUAAUAAGCAGAUUCUGAUUACAGCGUCCAGUGAGCAGCUACUAGUCAGAUGGAUAAUAGGUGCAAUAUAAAUGAAUUAUUAUUAUUAACACCCAGGUUCUAUUCCCCACUUGGUUUCACAUGAUAUUGUGGAGAUAUUGCAAAAAGUGGCAUAAAACCUUAUUCACUCACUCAUUUAUGAACUAUGGACAUUUCUGGGAUGGUCAUAAUGUUAAACAACAAACUAACCAACCAAUCAAUAACCAGGUGAACAUAGGUUUAGGAUCGAGGACUAAGAUUGGGCUCAGUUCAAUAAAAGAAAAUAUAUAUUUUAUUUUGGCCUUUCAGUUUUAUGUUAGAAUUAGAAAGUGUUCUUGUAUAACAGGUGUUGUAAAACAAGGCCUGAGACGGUUGAAGCCUGUAUUAAGUUAUCUAAACAAGAGGGGUUUAUAUUGAUGUACUUAUCAACACCAUCAGUAUCAAAUGUUAGCCACAGACAAUUCCUUGUUUCAGAUUUAGUGCGUUUUUAUAUGAAAAAAGAUAACCAGAAUAUAUUUACAAAUUCUGUUUCAAUCUAUAUACUUUGAAUUAUGCAAGAAAUGUAUUUGUUAGAGUACAACAUUAUUUUGUGUCUUACCUUUAUUCCAUUGUCCUUGUCAUGUCAAAGGGAAGAAUAUUUUAUAGAAUUUGGUACAAUUUUUUAGAAAAAAAACCAAGAGGUCAAAAAUGUUUGUUUUCCUUGCAAACACUUCCCAGUUGAUAUGUGAUCUCUCAUUUCUAUGAAAUGAAUCGGACAUGCUAGCACUUGUAAGAAACCACCCUUACCUAUACCAAUCUUUGAUAUGUUUGUGUUCACAUUAGUUGCAUGUAUAUGUAAAUGCCAGUACCAAAUGUCAUCUGCUGCUUCCAAGACAAAGCAGUUCCCUGCGGGUGAAGGAAAUAGCUGUUCAAAAUGGCUGGCUGUUCAUCAUGUCAAGGUCAGUCAUAUUCAUUCAGAUACGUAGGAAUUCAGUCUAACAUUUCUGGGUUUGCCACCACUUUACAAGUGCUUAUGGGGUUUUCCAGGUUGUUAAUGCUUUCUGACCUGCAUCACUUCAGGCUCCUCUCAAUAUCAAGCCAGGGAAGGGGGGGUAGUCUAGUGGUUAAAGCAUCUGCUCGUCACGCCCAAGUCCCGGGUUCAAUUUGGGUACAGUGUGUGAAGCCCAUUUCUGGUGUCCCCCGCCGUGAUAUUGCUGGAAUAUUGUAAAAGUGGCAUAAACCAUACUCACUCACUCAAGCCCAAAAUCACUGAUCAGACUGGAAUGCUGUGUGAAGUUGAGUUGGGCUUUACGUCACAUCUGCAUUAUUCAAGCAAUAUAGUGACGAGGAGUAACGUCAUGCUGACCUCAAUGAAGUUAUGUCACCUUGUAUCAUACUGGAGCCUUCCAAUAGAUAUAUAUAUAUCAUAUCAUGACAAUGUGUGGCAGACAUCAAAGAUGAUGAUGAUGAGAAUUAAAAGUCCAAUGUUUUCUGUUCAAGUCUAAGGUUCUUUGUCCAAAUGAUUACCAAUCCUUGACAAGGGAUAGACUAGGAGGAGUCUGGCAUAUAUAUUCAUAUUUUUUCAUAUUUUUUAUUUAUUUACUUGUGCCUCUGUACAUAUUCUGUCUUGUGAUGGUUGUGUUCGCAACACUUAAUGCUUCUGUACAAUUAGAGAUCAUUCCAGCUUGGGCAUUGUGUUGAUGUUUAUAACUGCAUGGGAGUUGAACAAGAUAACUGAAUUGUGAUCACGUUAUGUAGACAUGUUUUAAUAAAAUCUGUGAGUAAACUUU